rnacentral:rRNA from 1 species
UACAGAGGGUGCGAGCGUUAAUCGGAAUUACUGGGCGUAAAGCGUGCGUAGACGGUUAUUUAAGUCGGGUGUGAAAGCCCCGGGCUCAACCUGGGAAUUGCAUUCGAGACUGAAUAGCUAGGGUACGGUAGAGGGAAGUGGAAUUUCCGGUGUAGCGGUGAAAUGCGCAGAUAUCGGGAGGAACACCCGUAGCGAAGGCGGCACUCUGGGCCGGUACUGACGCUGAGGAGCGAAAGCGUGGGGAGCAAACAGG